UACGGGGGGGGCAAGCGUUGUUCGGAAUUACUGGGCGUAAAGGGCUCGUAGGUGGCCAACUAAGUCAGACGUGAAAUCCCUCGGCUUAACCGGGGAACUGCGUCUGAUACUGGAUGGCUUGAGUUCGGGAGAGGGAUGCGGAAUUCCCGGUGUAGUGGUGAAAUGCGUAGAUAUCGGGAGGAACACCAGUGGCGAAGGCGGUUAGCUGGCCUGUAACUGACACUGAGGCGCGAAGGCUAGGGGAGCGAACAGG
rnacentral:rRNA from 1 species